UCCGGUUUGUCACCGGCAGUCUCAUUAGAGUGCCCUUUCGUAGCAACUAAAGACGAGGGUUGCGCUCGUUGCGGGACUUAACCCAACAUCUCACGACACGAGCUGACGACAACCAUGCACCACCUGUCACUCUGCCCCCGAAGGGGACGUCCUAUCUCUAGGAUUGUCAGAGGAUGUCAAGACCUGGUAAGGUUCUUCGCGUUGCAUCGAAUUAAGCCACAUGCUCCACCGCUUGUGCGGGCCCCCGCCAAUUCCUUUGAGUUUCAACCUUGCGGCCGUAGUCCCCAGGCGGUUCACUUAAUGCGUUAGCUGCGGCACUGAGGGAGAACCCCCAACACCUAGUGAACACAGUUUAGGGCCAAGACUAC
rnacentral:misc_RNA from 1 species